rnacentral:lncRNA from 1 species
CCGCACUUAGAGCCUCCGGGUGCCGCCUGGAGAGGCGAAUGCCAGAGGGUUAAAUCUCUACUCCCUGCCACUUGCAGACCUCUUAAUGAAGGCGAUCCCCAUUCCUUCCUGGGGAAUCCUCCUCUCCCGGCUUUCUCCCAGCGCACUUACCCCUCCCACUGCUCCUGUAUCCUUUCUCCUGCAUACUAUGCCCAAUUUCCCUGAUCUGUGUGUAUCUCGUUCCGGACACCUUGUCUGUUUUCCCACCCCAUUUUUCCUCAGCUCUCUCCCAGGUUAAGGGGGGGGGGGGCACCAGCAAGUGAGGGGAAGUUGGUGAAGCUGACGUGAACUUGUGCAAAGAGUCGGACUUGGAGAGGAAUUGCUCUGGGCUGAAUAAACAUUGAGCUAGUACCGCUCUGUCCUGGAAAGUUUACACGCCCAGUUGAAUCCACGGUUGCUACCGGAACUGGAGCCCAGAGUGAGAGGGACAGGGAUUAUAAAUCCCGAUUUAGGUAUGGAGAAAUUGAGGCUCACAAAUAUCAUUGUUAGUGUAUGAAUUCAUAUCCACUAAUGCACUAAACACACACAUUUAAAAAAAAUAGGCACUAUUGCCACUGCCAGACAAAUAGUUGAUAUUUAUAGAGCACUUAAUUGUGUGCCAGUCACUGUGGUAUCGUUUUUUGAUCUUCACACUUCUUAGUAUCUUAUUUUAGUUGAGGAGUCUGACUUGGGGCUGGGGCUGUGGCUUAAGCGGUAGCGCGCUCGCCUGGCAUGCGCGGGGCGCUGAGUUCCAUCCUCAGCACCACAUAAAAAUAAAGAUGUUGUGUCCAUCGACAAGUAGAGAGUGAGUGUUAGAGAGAGAGAUUCAUUCUCUCUCCUCCCUCCUCUCUCUCUCUCUCUCUCUCUCUCU